GGGUCAGUAGGUUGGUCGUGCCAACGGUACGUACUGGUCUCACUGAUUCCUCCUUCCUGAAGAACCGUAAUGCCAUUAAUUUGGUGUUGCGGGGAAACAGGACUGUUACUUUGAAAAAAUUAGAGUGUUUAAAGCAAGCUAACGCUUGAAUACAUUAGCAUGGAAUAAUGAAAUAGGACGAUCGAUCCUAUUUUGUUGGUUUCCAGGAUUGACGUA
rnacentral:rRNA from 1 species